rnacentral:tRNA from 3 species
AGGUGAGUAAGUUAAUUUAAACUGUAGGGUUCAUGUCCCUAUAAUAUGAAAUUUCAUCUCACUAA